rnacentral:rRNA from 1 species
GACGAACGCUGGCGGCGUGCUUAACACAUGCAAGUCGAACGACGUGGCGAACGGGUGAGUAACGCGUAAUCAACCUGCCCUUCAGAGGGGCACAACCGGUGGAAACGACUGCUAAUACCGCAUACUGAAGGAGGGGAUUGCGUCUGAUUAGCUAGUUGGAGGGGUAACGGCCCACCAAGGCGAUGAUCAGUAGCCGGUCUGUGAGGUGGAACGGGCACGUUGUGACGGAGACACGGCCCAGAACCCUACGGGAUGGAGCAGGGGGGAAAUGUCCGAAAUGGACGGAAGGCUUGCUGAGGAACGCCACGGGAGUGGAAACGGCCUUCGGGUUGUAAAACUCGGUUAAUCGUGGCGCGGUACCGGAAUAGGAAGCCACGGCUAACUACGUGCCAGCAGCCGCGGUAAUAC